UUAGUGGCACUGCAAGGAAAUAGCUUCAUCGUCUCGAAUCAGUAGCUCAGCCAAUUAUUAGGUAGCCAGUCACGACAGACAAUCAUGCCACAACGUUAUGAGGGGGAAUUUCAUUCAUAUGCGUUAACGUAAUAACGCUGAAUCAAUACUUUGUGUAACAUGGUAUUGAUUGCUGUGUUUACGCAUGCGCACAAAGUGUCAGCCAUUGACUACGAUUCUGUGUGGACCAGUGUAGUGCGUACAGUUCGUGAUGGCGGUCGCAGACAGAUGACACUAGUUACCACGACAAGUACACAGGUAUGAGCAGUUGAUAUACCGCUUCUAAACUGUGACAGAAAUGCGGCAAGAAUGAGGAAGUUCCCGUAGCAACAAUGCUCAACACCACUGGAACCAACCUGAUCUCCAAGGUCAUUUUCAUAAUUUGUGUUCUGAUAGCGACUGCUACGGUCUGCCUCUUGACACACGAGUUCAUAAAGAAUUAUCAUCACCCGGUGCUUAUUUUACGACGUCGUAUCACCAAUCAAAAUGAUAACCAAUCACCAAACACCAAUUCUUCACCGGGAGGACUGUUGGAUCUCAUCGCAAACGUAACUCAUGUGGUGAUGGCCAUGGAGAAUCAAGCUCAACGGCUGGAUGAAGAACUACAGCGCAUGCGUCAGAAAACCCGCCAGUUACUAUGGCAACGCCAGAAAGACGCGUUAUGGACGGCAAUUCAUAAAUGCGUUUUAUUUUAUGGUUGCAGUAAACAUAAUUAUACUCCUCUUAGCAGGACUGUAAAUGGAGCUAACAAGACUUUCUCUCAGUACAAGAAACUUAACUCCAGCUAUGGACUCUAACGUCCUAACGAGUUAACGACGACAGAGCAAAGGCAAUUUUUAGGAAAUUGAAAAUAAUACGCCAUUAAUUCUUCACUAGCGGGCAAUUUGAUUGAAAAUAUAAAUCUGACGUUUCGGAGACUCUCUCCGUCAUCGGUGAUUGAUAUUAUGAACAGAUAGGCACAUACACGAACCGUUCAACUUAAACCACUCUCCAUGAAAACUAGUCUGUUCUUAACGUGAUAGAAACCACUGAUAUAAGUUACCAAACACAUAAUCAACCAGUAAUCGUUUAAGAGGGUCCAACACUUUUAAUACAUCUUUAACACACGGCUUUAUGAAAUUAUAGAUAACAUUUUCAGAAACUUUUUUUAUACACAACUGAAUUAUAUUUUAUAACAUAAUACCAGCAACUUCAGUGUAUACGUUACAGAAGUGAAACUUAAAAGGAAUUCAAAUGAACCACACUUCAGUGGCGAGUGAGUGUAAGUAAAUUACUCUGUUAGGGCUUCUAAAGGCGACGUCUCUUCUCGUAAAUGUAUCCUCCCCCCCCCCCAAAAAAAAACAUAAGUGGACUGGAACAAAGUUUCGUUUGUAACCAGGCCCACAAAACUUUGUCAUUUUAUUACUACGAGUAGUUACUACAAGUUCAUUUAUUAACUAUCCUCUGAAAUACAAAAAAAAAGAUAAUGUGAUUAUUAUCUGGUCCGCUGCUUUACGUACAAGUACCAUUCAUACAACUGACAUUAAAACACUGCCGUAAAAUGCAAAUUUUCGACGCAAAAACUGUGUCUCACACACAAGUUGUUGCAGGAGCAAAUUCAUGUUAUUAUAAAACUCUGUAUUAAUUUGUACAUAUUUCAACAGACUAUGGUAAGUUGUCGUUUCUGAAUAUGUAACGUUGCAUAUAACAAAAAAAGCUAUUAGUUUUAUAAAAUAGUGCGAGGAAGGUUUUUUUUCCCCUUGGAUCCAACGGGAAAAUUACAUCUGGUGUGGUGCACCAUCUGUGACAGCAAUGGAGAACGCAAGAUGACGAUAAGACAUGGCAAAUAACUUCAAAAUUCAAUUUCACACUUCAGUCAGUUAUUGCGCAAAGGCUAAGAAACAUGGCUGAGAAACACUUCAAAGCCUCGUCACUUAACACUGGAUACAAUGAUUGCAAAACAUUCUAACAUCGCAUCCAAUCAGAUAUUGAUCCUGUGCGUGGAGUGAGAAGUGUGGGAAUAUCGAAAAUGCAGGAUCAAAUUUAUUUCUCUGAACUCUAUGACCAAAUACCCUCAAGAAUUCUAAAAAAUUAAGCUUCGUCUUAUGCGACAAAUUAUCAAGUCAUUUGAUAUUUUACUCUGAAUUUCUGUUUAAAAAUCCAUCUAUUUUGUGCUUCAGAGUUUAUGGAAUUCUUUGAAUUUGAUACCUUUCUGUAAUAAAACUUGAUAUGAACUUC